GUGUAUGGCCACGCCACCCUGAACAAGCCCUAUCCUGUCUGAUCUCGGAAGCUAAGCAGGGUCAGGCCUGGUUAGCACUUGGAUGGGAGAUCACCUAGGAAGACCAGGUGCUGUAGGUA
rnacentral:rRNA from 1 species